GCACACGUGUAAUCAGGCUCCAAAUUGCAGCAGUCGUUUUUAAUUUACGUUUUAUCACCCAGCCUGUUGUUUCCACUUCACACCAAACAAAGGGGUUUUGUGCCCCAAAUGUUGUUUGCUUCUGAUUAAACUGGUCAAGUGAAGGACACCACCUCUGUCAAAUCUCACGGACGCAUACCCAGGUGCUCACAUUGUGUUACUUCCCUCUGACUUCUCAUUUCAUCACCUGCCGAUGCUUACAAAGCUCCCACAAGUUUGUCUGUAUCAGACUUUCUGCCAUGACUACAACUUCCAACAGGCUGACCAGCUGAGGAUUUAACUGCUUUGGCACCGUACUCUGCUCUAACUGUUGUGGUUCCACCUGGAAAUAUUUAAAACAAAGCAAAAGGGUAUUCCAGAGACCAGCAGAGUUACAAAUAAAGAAGUAUUUGAGAAGCAGGCAAAAGUCCUCAUGAAAACUGCAGGUCAGUAAAACGGA